CCUACGGGAGGCAGCAGUGGGGAAUCUUGGGCAAUGGGCGCAAGCCUGACCCAGCAACGCCGCGUGAAGGAAGAAGGCUCUCGGGUUGUAAACUUCUUUUAUCAGGGACGAAGCAAGUGACGGUUCCUGAUUAAUACGCCACGGCUAACUACGUGCCAGCAGCCGCGGUAAUACGUAGGUGGCAAGCGUUAUCCGGAUUUACUGGGUGCAAAGGGCGUGUAGGCGGGAAAGCAAGUCAGAUGUGAAAACCAUGGGCUAAACCUGUGGGCUGCAUUUGAAACUGUUUUUCUUGAGUACUGGAGAGGCAGACGGAAUUCCUAGUGUAGCGGUGAAAUGCGUAGAUAUUAGGAGGAACACCAGUGGCGAAGGCGGUCUGCUGGACAGCAACUGACGCUGAGGCGCGAAAGCGUGGGGAGCAAACAGGAUUAGAUACCCGUGUAGUC
rnacentral:rRNA from 1 species